rnacentral:rRNA from 1 species
UUUCAUGGAGAGUUUGAUCCUGGCUCAGGACGAACGCUGGCGGCGUGCCUAAUACAUGCAAGUCGAGCGAAUCUUGAGGAGCUUGCUCCUCUUGGUUAGCGGCGGACGGGUGAGUAACACGUGGGCAACCUGCCUGUAAGACUGGGAUAACAUCGGGAAACCGAUGCUAAUACCGGAUAAUCCUUUUCCUCUCAUGAGGGAAAGCUGAAAGUCGGCUUCUCGCUGACACUUACAGAUGGGCCCGCGGCGCAUUAGCUAGUUGGUGAGGUAACGGCUCACCAAGGCGACGAUGCGUAGCCGA